AUGUGGUUGGCGAUGCACCGUCGUUGCCUUACGGUGGACAACCUGGAGGCGCCUGAAGACUACACCCACUUGUUUCUCCACUGCAGCUUUACGCAACAAGUUUGGGCGCGCUUCAGAUCCUGGACCGGAGCCGAUUUCCUUAUCCCCGAGAACACCUAUACCUCCACACGGGAGUGGUGGUUGUAGGCUAGGGCUGCUAUCCCCAAGCACAUGCGUAAGAAUUUUGACAGGGUGGUGAUCUUGCUGCACCGGAGGAUAUGGAAAGAAAGAAAUUCCAGGAUUUUUGAUCAGGUGGCAUGCUCGCCGUUCGGCGUCUUGGAGAGGGUACAAGAAGACGUGGCCAUGUGGAGGGCCGCCGGAUGCAUCGUUGAUCUGCCAACUUAG
rnacentral:rRNA from 1 species